UGGAUGGAAUACAUGGAAGGGUCCACAUGAGAGCCUGGGGGGCGGGGGGCGGUGCUGGCAUUGGGUCCCUGGGUGGCCUGAGUCCCUGGGAGAACAGUCCUGCUGGGGGCAGGCGCUGACGGUGGCAGGAAGAAUGAUCAGAGCAGGUGGUGAGAGUCACAGAAAGCUAGAGAGCAGGAGCCAUCAAGGGUCAGGAUCCCAGGGAACAGAGAGACACCGGGAAGGGCGGGAUCCAGGAGAGAAGACGACUAUACCUGGGGAACUUCUCUCUGUGUCGUUGCCCCUUGGAAAGGGUGUGGCAGAGGUUAGUGUGCAGGCUUUCCCCAGAGGCUGCCCCCAAACUGUAGCCUAUUGCUCAUCCUGUGACUGUGGGCAGGGUGACUUAAGGUCUCAGCCUCAGUGUCUUCAUCUGUAAGAUGGAGUUAGGAUCGUUAACUCGAACUGUCGUGAGAACUAAGCAAGGCACUCCUGUAUAGCCCUCUGAUGGGUGGCUGACUCACGUCAAGCCUUCUGAGGGGGUUCUGGAUUGUGAGUUUCUCCCCCCAGACAGAUGAGCAACCUGAGGCUUGCAGAGUAAAGUCACACCCAGGUCUGGGCUCCCCUCUCUCCCUCACAUAGGUAGGAAAAAAAAUCACACAGGUUUUUUUGUAAGCUCCCCAGAUGAUUGGAAGGGGCAGCAACCUUUGAGGACCACUGGUAGAAGCUGAAGGCUGUGGAAAGUAGAAGCCACCAGUGAAUCGCCGUACUCUCCCAAACCUCUUAAGCUCCCUUUAGAUCCAACACCCUUUAUAAACCAACUUUAUGAGUUGGUAAAGGACCCCACAUGGGUGCUUGUGGUGACCUCCAGCCAGAAUAUGUCUCCUGUGGUAGCCCAGCAAAGGGGUUGGAAGUCAGAGGUUCUGGAUUAAAGCUCCCGCCUCCCUUGGGACUGGUGGUGGUGAUCACAUGCAGCAACAUUGUCCUUGUCCUGAGAUGUGUGAAUGCUCUCUUAGGACCUGCCCAAAUGCAAGGCACAUUCAGGAUGUUCUCUUCUGAAUGCACAUGAGAUUGAAAGACUACACUCUCUUUUAAAGCACAGGGCUCUGAUGUAGCUCCAAUGGGUAGCUCAGUUGGCAGGAUUUUUGAAACCGAGCUUUCUUCUACACGCAGCCCAUGGACUUCAAGCAAGCAAGGAGCCCCGAGCUGAGAUGUGGGGCAGCCUUGGUCCACUCUGAGCAUGGCUGGCACAGCAUUCCCUGCCUUGUUCUGUGAUCCUGCUUUUCACAAACUUCUCCUCCCCUAGACAGUCAGCAUUGUGAAGGCAAGGACAGUGUCCUACUCCACCUCGAGUUUCCAUCACCCAGCAAAACGCCUGCCACCUAAUCAGUGGUUACUAAGUGGUCAUUACGAAGGAAGGCUGCCGUGGUAAGAUUUUCUAUGAUGUUGGCCUAACCCUUGGCUAUCUGUGACCGACAAGUCACCGUGUGUGGUGCUGUCUGUAAAGAUGACCAUGUGUGUAUGCGCUGCUCCUGUCAUCAAGAGGUAGAGUCAAUUCCCUUUCCCCUUGGAUCUGUGCUGGUACUGGGACUGGCUUUGCCCAAUGGAAGGAGACAGAAGGGAUGCUGUUCCGGUUCUGGCCCAAGGCCUCAUGUUCUCUGAGCCUGAGCCACCACGUAGAGUCCAGGCUAUCUUGCUGGGCUGAGAGCCAGAAGCCAGCCUCAGGGCCUCGAAGCUACCUGGCCAACCCGGUUGAUACCAGACAGCCCCGCUGAGCUCUGCCUGAAGACCUGGCCCACUGAAUUGGGAGCAAUAAAAUAGUUUUGUGAUUUAA